ACGGAAGGCAGCAGUGGGGAAUCUUCCGCAAUGGGCGAAAGCCUGACGGAGCAAUGCCGCGUGAGUGAAGAAGGCCUUCGGGUUGUAAAACUCUGUCCUAUUUGAAGAGAGCGAGAUGUGUAAACAAUGCAUUUCGAGGACGGUAAAAUAGGAGGAAGCCCCGGCUAACUACGUGCCAGCAGCCGCGGUAAUACGUAGGGGGCGAGCGUUGUCCGGAAUCACUGGGCGUAAAGGGCGCGUAGGCGGUUUUGUAAGUCGGUUGUGAAAACCAAGGGCUCAACCUUUGGCCUGCAACCGAUACUGCAGAACUUGAGUAUGGAAGAGGAGUAUGGAAUUCCUAGUGUAGCGGUGAAAUGCGUAGAUAUUAGGAGGAACACCAGUGGCGAAGGCGAUACUCUGGGCCAAAACUGACGCUGAGGCGCGAAAGUAUGGGGAGCAAACAGGAUUAGAUACCCUGGUA
rnacentral:rRNA from 1 species